ensembl:antisense Gm15492 predicted gene 15492
GAGGUGGGAGCGGUUGGCCUGCUGGCCUCGCUGCUUGGCGAUUGGCUGCCAGAGACCCGGCUCUGCCAUUUCAGGGCUUUCGGUGCAAUCUCAGGGCCUGCCUGCAACUUCUCGUGCUGGCCCGCACUGGAGCCACAUCAUUGCGGGGCGUAGUGGUACACACCGGUCGUCCCAGAACUCGGGAUACUUGGGUUUGAACUCCUUCCUUUGGACUGAAAUGGCUGCAACCCAACUUCCAGUGGGAAAACCUGUAAAGGCAUCCUGUAGCCUGCCUCCCAUCUGUAGGAAUGGUACCUGGUCCGGUCUGAGGCUGCACUGCUGCUGCUGCUGCUGCUGGACUCAGAGUCUGAGCUGCUUCGGGGAAGGUUGCAGUCAUUACGGUACACCAAGAAACUCUUCUUCACUGGCUGGUUCCCACUGCUGAAGCCAUUGGCUGGAGAUCUUCAGUAAAUACCAGACCUAUUUACUUCUAAAUCCCCAGUUCCUAGCAUGCAUUGGACUCCCAAGCCUGGGCAAAUACCAUGAAACCUGUGAAUAGCUGAAUGAGAAGACCACCAGAUUAGGAGUUGAGGAAGAUCAGAUUACGCAUUAAACGUUGCUUAUUGU